AAAAAGACAAACUCUGGUUUUCGUGUCCAACGUUUAACCAUUCGUCUUAUUUGAAAAAAUUAUGAAAAAAAAAUUACAUAUAAGACGGACAGUUAAAGUUGGACACGGAAACCCAGGGUUUGCCUUUUU
rnacentral:pre_miRNA from 1 species